rnacentral:rRNA from 1 species
ACGCUGGCGGCAGGCUUAACACAUGCAAGUCGAACGGUAACAGGGAUUAGCUUGCUAAUCUGCUGACGAGUGGCGGACGGGUGAGUAAUGCUUGGGAAUCUGGCUUAUGGAGGGGGAUAACUACGGGAAACUGUAGCUAAUACCGCGUAAAAUCUUCGGAUUAAAGGGUGGGACUUUCGAGCCACCUGCCAUAAGAUGAGCCCAAGUGGGAUUAGGUAGUUGGUUAGGUAAAGGCUGACCAAGCCGACGAUCUCUAGCCGGUCUGAGAGGAUGACCAGCCACACUGGAACUGAGACACGGUCCAGACUCCUACGGGAGGCAGCAGUGGGGAAUAUUGCACAAUGGGGGGAACCCUGAUGCAGCCAUGCCGCGUGAAUGAAGAAGGCCUUCGGGUUGUAAAGUUCUUUCGGUGACGAGGAAGGUUGGUAGGUUAAUAGCCUAUCAAAUUGACGUUAAUCACAGAAGAAGCACCGGCUAACUCCGUGCCAGCAGCCGCGGUAAUACGGGGGGUGCGAGCGUUAAUCGGAAUAACUGGGCGUAAAGGGCACGCAGGCGGUGACUUAAGUGAGAUGUGAAAGCCCCGAGCUUAACUUGGGAAUUGCAUUUCAUACUGGGUCGCUAGAGUACUUUAGGGAGGGGUAGAAUUCCACGUGUAGCGGUGAAAUGCGUAGAGAUGUGGAGGAAUACCGAAGGCGAAGGCAGCCCCUUGGGAAUGUACUGACGCUCAUGUGCGAAAGCGUGGGGAGCAAACAGGAUUAGAUACCCUGGUAGUCCACGCUGUAAACGAUGUCGAUUUGGGGAUUGGGCUUUGAGCUUGGUGCCCGUAGCUAACGUGAUAAAUCGACCGCCUGGGGAGUACGGCCGCAAGGUUAAAACUCAAAUGAAUUGACGGGGGCCCGCACAAGCGG